UCGGCGAAAAAAAAAAAAGAACGAGAGAACGAAGAGGAGAGAGAAAAAGAAAAGAGAAAAAGGUAUAAGGGCAUUUUGGUCAGUUUGCUGAAAAAACGGACCGAAUCUGCAAAAACGAAAAAGGUGGCCCGAUUUUGCAAAAGCCUAAAAUAAGUGGAUUUUUUAUGCAAAUUGACCUAUAAUUAUUUAAUAGAUUAAAUUAAAUAAUUAUAACGCUAUUUUGAUAACUUUAUAAAUAAUAUAAAUGAUUUGGUACGUACUUUAUUUUAUAAAAAAUAAAAAGAUCUUAACCAUUGAUUAAUAAAGAUUAAAAAUAUAAUUUUAUUAUGUAACAGGUUAAAAGAUGAUUUCAUGUGACACUAUAACAAAAACGGUCUAUAGCGAUACUUUUAAAUAUAGGUACAUGUCAAAAAAGUGAUGCUAGUUAAAAUUACUGACACUUUUAAAAAGUGUUGCUAUAUGUGGGGUCGCUAAGUAUAUAGUGACAGUUAAGAGUGUCGCUAUAACCUAAAAGAGUGCUGCUAAUUUACCAACACUUAUUUAAGCAUUUAGCAACCGCCGAAACUCUAUCUCGUUAGCUGUGGUGGCGGAGGAGGACGACAGGAAAGGCUCUUCGUCUAGAAUUUCAGUGGAUUGAGUGAAGAGAGAAGAAAAGAUGGUAAUUGAUUUUUUUUUUUUUUUCUUUUCUGUUUGUAAUCGGGCCAAAUGGACUGGGUGUGGUGGGUGGAGUAGAGUAAUUUUUUAUUUUUGGUCGGAUUGGGUUUUAUAUUUAGGCAUUAGUAGAUAUUUUUUAAGUUUUAGGAUAAAUAUGACACUUACUCAAAAGUGUUCCAAAUAUGUGUUCCUAUAGCCUAAUUCUGUUGUAGUGUGAGGGUAUUUUUGUAACUAAAGUGGGCAAAAUUUUAAGAAAAUUGUGAUUAAUAUCUCAAAUUUAGUAUUAAUUUUGUACUAAUUUAAAUAUUAAUUUAAAAUUUGAUAGAUAUUUCAAAUUUAGACAUUAAUUUUGCGCUAAUUUAGGCAUUAAUUUCCGUGAAAGAACGUGAACCUUUUUAAGUAAUUAUAUAACUCUGUUUUAAUAGCUUUAUAUAAUUAUUUAAUAGAUUAAGAAAUUAUAACUCUAUUUUAAUAGCUAUAUACAAUAGAAAUGAUCUGGUACUUCAUUUUAUAAAAAAUAAGUAAAUUUUAAAUUAAAUCUAGCAAAUAUAAAAUGUCAAAUUUAAAAUUUAAAUAAUUAAAAAUAACAAUUUAAAUUUUAUAUUUUAAAUUUUAAAUCAAAUCUAAAAUUACAAAUAUAAAAUGUCAAAUUUAAAUUUAAAUAAUUAAAAAUAAUUAAAAAUUUAAAAAUAUAAAUUUUAAAAUUACAAAUUAUAAAUUUUUAAAAUUUAAAAUUUAUAUUUAUAUUUAAAAAUUAGGGAUAAUUUCAUCAAUACCCUUCUAAGAGAUAGGAAUUUCAUAAAUGCCCCUAUAAAUUACAAAAUAUCAGCAAUACCCCUCUAUAAAACAAAAAUAUUCACAAAUACCCUUAAGAUUAACAUUCCGUUAAAAAGUCAUCUAAUAUUCUGUAAAUACCCAUUUUACCCUUAUUAAUUACUAAUUUAACUAAGUGUAAUAAUUUAAGAUUAAUUACAUGAUCAAGAUCAAUUCUUAACCUUUCAAUCACAUAAUAAUUCAACAUUCUUUUUAAAAUUUUACAAUUAAAUAUCUAUAGUCUAUUAAGUGUAAUAAUUAAAUCUUGUUAUAAUUUUUCGCUUGUAAAUUAUAUAUAGUUGUAAUGCAAUUGUCUAUUGUAAUAUUCAAUAUUAAUUUCGAGAUUUAAAUUUUUUGAAUUUUAUUUAAAUAACUCACAUAAGUCAUACAAAAAAUAUUUUGAUAUAAAAUUUUUUUGAUAUUAGUAUUUUUCAUAUGACCCAAUCAAGCAACAGUUUUUUAAUUGCACAUUUAUUGUCAACAAAAAAAUAACUUUGUAUGAAGACCCGCUCACCCAUUAGUCCACUUUGGCAUGGCCCUAUCUUUGAAUAAUAUAUAUAUAUAUAUAUAAUUAAUUAAUUGAGCUCCUAUAUUUUUAAAAGUAUCAAGUUAUUAGUGGUUGUAGAUUUGUGUCCAUUGGAUUAAGAGAUGUGCGGUUAGAUGAUGUUUCCAUAUAUUUUAUCUACCAAUAAUUAGUACUAAAAAUAUUAUUUUUAAAAUUUAAAGGGUAUUUAUGAAAUUAUAUCUUUAUUAGUUGCUGUCAAAAGAACACCCCAACCGAGGAUAAAUUAGUCAUUUUAUAACCUAAUCUUAACGUCCGUUAUAAAAAAAGGUAUUUGUGAUAAUUUUCUACAUUUGAAGAGAUAUAUAUGAUAUUUUCAAUUUUAUAGAAGUAUUUACGAUAUUUAGAUAUUUCAGAGGGUAGCGGUGAAAUUGCCCCUAAAAAUUAAAUCCCCUAUGACUAGAUAACCCAUGGGGUGGGGUUUGCUAAAGCAAGAGGGGCGAGUAGCCUCAGCCCAUUUCUGUACUUUCCUGAACUCCACUCACACUCAGAGACUCAGAGAGAGAGAGAGAGAGAGAGAGAGAGAGGGAAAACCCAUUUCUUAACUUUCCUGAACUCCACUCACACUCAGAGAGAGAGAGAGAGAGAGAGAGAGAGGGAAAACCCAUUUCUUAACUUUCCUGAACUCCACUCACACUCAGAGAGAGAGAGAGAGAGAGAGAGAGAGGGAAAAUUGAAGAUGAUGAUACCAUUUUCAACAGUGUUGGUGAUCAUCUUCACCAUCAUAGUCUCUCCCACCAUAGCCAUUGUUGUGGCUCAGAGCUUGAAGAGCUACAGGAAGAAGAGGAACCCCAAGUUCCCACGUGGACCCAUGGGGUGGCCCCUCGUUGGCUCCACCUUCUCCUUCUUCAAGCCCCAUCACUCCUCCUCCAUUGGUCACUUCAUGGAGCAGAACCUCUCAAGGUGACGGAUGAUGAACAUCUAGCUAUGAUCUCUAUAUAUAUCUCCCCUCAAAGAAAAGUUAAUUUUUUUUUAAAAAAAGAACAAUAAAAAAUACAAAAAAAAUACGGCGAUCAAACCACGGUAUUUAAACACGAUGAUUGAAUCACCAUAUUCAACUUAAAAAUACCAUGUAGACGCUCGCGUGACAAACGAAGCAUUAUUUAUGUAAAUAUAAAUUUGUUAGAGCCAUUUGUUGAUUAUUGUAAGAUUUAAACUAGCUCGUUAUUUAGAUGUCCAAAGAGCAUUGCCCAGUCAUAAUUAUGUUGUGUUAACUGCAAAAGGUACGGGAAGGUAUUCAGCAUGAACUUCUCCGGGGAGAUGGUGGUGGUAUCGGCGGCUGUUCAGGAACAGUCUGCCGGCGCACUUCCCGAAGCUGGUCGGGAACUCCUCGCUGGUGCUGCUGAUGGGCGAUGCCUACCGGCACAAGAAGGCCAUCCUCCUCGCCUUCUUCAACAAGUUCCGCCUGCAGGCCGGCUUCUUGCAUGACAUCGAGCGCCUCGCUGGAGGCCUCUUGGCCUCCUGGAGCGAGGGAGGGGUCACCUACAUGACAGAGAACGCAAACAAGGUGACGGAUUUUUUUUCUUUUUCUUUUCUUUCAGCUUAUUUGCAACUUAUAUGCGAUUUUGCUGAUGCUCUUUUUGGAUGGAUUAAAAGGGAAAAAAAAAAAAGGAAAAUAAGCUUUCUUAGUAUGAGGAUGAAAGUUGAAGGGUUAAACAUUAAUAUUCUGUAGGAUAAAUUUAAUGCACUAAAAAAAAAAAAAUAGUAGUGGUAUUUGGUUGUGUGGUAAAUGAAAGCGAAAAGAGAGAAAGGAACGGAAGAGAAAGUAAAGAGAGAAAAUGAGGAGAGAGAAAGUAUCGUAGGAGAAAAAGUAGGAAUAAGGUUGAGAUAGAAGGGUUUUUUUUUUUUGAGAGAGAGAUAUAGAUAACAUGCGAUCCGUUUCGUUUAUUUUAUUUGAAAAUAAAUUUAGUUAGAAAUACGAAUUAACUAGGAUUCAAAUUUGAAAUCUCAAGUACUAAUUAUCAAGUUCUUCGCUAGGGACAGCCGGUGUUGAGAGAAAAAGUUACUGCUGAGAAAAAAAAAAAAGAAAUUAAAUAAGGAGAGAAGAGGAUGAGAGAGAAUAGGAGGAGAAUGAUGGGAGAAGAGAGAAAAGGACAAAAGGCAAAAAAGUGAAAGGAGAAAAUAAAAAAAAGAAAGAAAGAAAAGAGAGAGAGAGAGAGAGAGAGAGAUAAAAGAAGGAUAAAAUGAGCAUUUUGAGAGAAAUAUUUGUUUCUUUCUCUUUUCCUCCUUUCUUAUUUCAUAUGUCAUGUUUGACUCCAUAUUGUUUUGUGCUUUUUACAGUAAAAAGUCAAGAGCUUUUAAAGUAAUGAAAAGUAGAAAUAUACUCGUGAAAUUCGAAGUAUGGAGCUUUAACUUCGAACUUGAAAUUUUGUUGCGGGUGCUUCUCCAUGUACUUCUUUUUAUGUAGCAUGUUAUCCUACAGCAGAGCCAAACAAAAAUUUAAUCUUGAUUUUAAUGAGAGAACAAUUUUCUUUCUAAUUUUUUCUUGCAUUCUUUCUUCAUCCAAGCCUAGCAUAUAGUUAAACCAAAUGAGAAAAAAAAAAAAAAAAAAAAAAAACUAACUAACAAAUCGUGAUGAUCAAAUGUUGUGUGGAUGCACAGUUUGCGUUCUACGUGAUAGUUAAAAAAGCUUUGGGAUUAACCCCAGAGGACCCCGAAACGGAGCAGCUAAGGAAGGAGUUCAUGGCACUCUACAAGGGACUAUAUGCACUUCCCAUUAAUCUUCCUGGAUAUACACAUUGGAAGGCUUUGAAGGUAAGUGCAUGAAAUGAUGUGAUCCUUUUUAAUUCUUUGAAAAUAAAAAUAAAAUAAUCAAAUCGAUCCCACAGGUAGUUUAUCACAUUUGCAGUUUUCGUGUUUCAAAAAUAUAGCACUUUGCUUUCAUAAGGUUCUUGUUUUAGCUUUUGUAACGUUAAUGUUGGCAUUUGGCCAGAACCAAAUAGGAUACGCUCAUGGUCGGGUUCAACCCAUAGUUAUCAUAUUAUCUAAUUAGGAUAGAAUUGCAUUUAUCUUGCUUUUAUUUUUGGAAACUAAGAAAAAAGGCUUUCUAAUAUACUAAAAUAAUUGAAAACAGACUGAUUAGGCCUAACAUUUUAACAUUCAGUGUUAGGAUAUUAUAAAUUAUCAUAAAUUUGUUGUUGAUUCUAUAUAGAAAAUACGUCGAAACAUCAAGAGAAAUUUAAUUAUAUGCCUCCUUGAGAGAAAGAAAACAAUAUAUAUUCCUCAUCAACUCAUUGAGUCUAGAUCUUAAACGGUAAAACCCUAGCUCAUUCAUAGAUAGAUAUAUAAAUAUAUCUACCAUAUAUGGGUUUGGAAAUUUAUGGUUCUUUAUCGACGAUUCAAGGAUAAGUGAAUCGACUUCUAUAUAUGAUCCCUUGUGUCUAAUGUUUGCAUCAGACAUUGUUAGGUGGAUUUCGAGCCUUAAUAUGAUAUGAUUUUUAAUAAGAUUGCACCGAUAGAAUACAAGUUAUCGAUCACUGUUAGGAUCGAGCUUCCUUUGCGUGAUGAUGGGUGUGAAUACUGGAUUUCUCCAGGAUAAAUAUAAUUAUAUGAUAUUCGCACAUCUCGCAACCCUCGUAUAAAUUGUUGAUAAAAUCAAUAAGGUUGGUCAAAAUUUGUUUUGUAUUUUUUUAUAAGUCUUAAUUUUUGAAAACUAUAAUAUUAGCUGGGGCUUUCUUGUUUUUAAUUUUUGAAUAAUAUAAUCCUAGUUGAUUCACAUUUCCAGCUAAGUUUAUUUCUAAAUAAAAUAAACGAAACGGAUAGCGUGCUAUCUAUCUCUCAAAAAGAAAAAAAAAAAAAGAAGACUGCUUUCCUAUAACUAUUUGACUCUCGCCAAGCUACCAUUGCCCCCAGCUGCUGAACGCAUCCUCCUGCUGCGUGCUGACCGCUGCCGUGUGCAGCUUUCUUCACUGCAGAGACUGUUCACUUCGGAUGGUCCUCUGCCUUGAUCCCAGACCGGCCGGACGAAUAGCCAUGAUUUGAUGGGCCAAUCUGACUUGGGUCUGACCCAAAUCCGAGGCCCCAUACCACUUAUGGAAGCCUGGCUUGCUCGGCGUAGGAGAACCCAACCAGCUGGCUGGCUUGCUCGCUCGUCCUUUUGCGAUGCCUCUAUGCAGGCUGUCUUAGUUAUAAUUUGGAGCUCCCAAAAUAUAUAGGUUGAGUCUGUGAUUGCACUGUAUUUUUUUUUUUAGGGGCAAUUGUUUAUACAUUCCUGAAAAGUUUCCUAUUUUCUGAUUUACCACUCGUAGAAGGUUAAUAUUGAAAAUACCUUUUUUACGUUUCAAUUUAUUUCAAAUAUAUUCCUAGAGUUAAAUUCUGUUAAUGAACUGUUAAAAUAGCUGUUAUCUCUAUGAAAUUAUUAUUUUGCCCUUUCAAAUAUACCGUUCUAUCAUCAUCGAUUUUUCUUAUUUGUCCUUAAGUUAGGAGUAAAAAAAUAUUUUGAUUUUUGGCCUUUUCAAAUAUACCCUUCUAUCAUCACCAAUAUUUGCUAUUAAGUCAAGGGCAAAAAAGGCAUUUUAUUUUUUUUUUUAACUCUAAUAGAUAUUUAAUUCACAUUUAACCCAAGUUAACUUAACAGGUGGUCACUGUAGAGAUAUUUUGGAAUAACAGAGGAACAUAUGAGGAGUGUAUUGGAAAGAAAAAAAAAAAAUAGGGACAAAUAAGAUAUUUCUGAAGUUUAAAGAGGUAUAUAGGCAAUUAUCCCUUUUUUUUUUAUAUAGAAUCAUUGAUAGCACAGUAUUGAGAAAGUAAUUGUGAUGAUAUUGUUCCCAUCAUAUACAAGUGGAAGAUAUUGGUCUUCAAUCAAACCAAAUCGAGUGCGCCUAUAGUCGGGCUCGACCCAAUUUUUAUCAUGUAGUCUAAUUGGACUAAAAUUGUAUUUUAGAAAACUGAGAAAAGAGACUUUCUAGCCAUAUCAGUAUAGGGUGUAAACGAGCCGAAUACGAUGCGAGCUGGGGGUCAGCUCGUGUUCGGCUCGUUUAAUAAACGAGUCGAACACGAGCUGGCUCGUUAAAAAAUUCAGCUCGUAUUCGGCUCGUUUAUUAAACGACCGAACACGAGCUGGCUCACAAGCUGGCCAAUGAACAAUAAGUUAAAAAGAUUAUAUUGAACAUAUAUAAGAAUAAAUUUAUAAAGUCUUAUCCAUUAGACUUUGAUCUAGUAGUUGAAAUUUUACAUAUAAAUGAGUGUUUUUAUAAUUGAGCUCACCUUUUAUAUUUUAUUUUGCUAAAAAUUAAAUAAUAAAAAUAUAUAUUAUUAUAUAAAUAUAAAUAAUAAUUAUAUAAAUAUAAAAUAUAUGUAUUCGAGCUGUUAUCGAGCCGAACAUAAGCGAGCGGACCCCAGCUCGUGUUCGGCUCGUUUAAUAAACGAGCCGAAAAAUUGGCUCGUGUUCGCCUCGUUUACUAAACGAGCGAUUCGAUCUCAAGCUCAUUUCAAGCCCAACAUGAGCUGGCUCGUGAACAGCGAGCUGAAUUGCCACCCCUAUAUCAGUAUAAUAAAUAAUAAACCAAUUAUUAGGCCUAAUCUUCUAAUCGUAUCCUUUAAAAGGUGUUUAAAACUCCUAUACAUAUACAGUCAAUUCUCUUGUGAAUAUGGAUAAAAAAAAAUAUACAUAUAAAAUAUUCUGAAAAAUUAAGAGAAAUUCAUGAAAAAUUUCGUUUGCUUUUUUGGAAGAGAAAACCACGUCCCCCAUCUAUACCUUUUAUAGCUAUACAUUAUUUUUCAUAGAAUUUGCCACAUGGCAGUUCUCGUUCACCCUUGCCUUCUUCCCCUUUUUUAUUUCCUAUCUAUACCUUUUAUAGCUAUACAUUAUUUUUAUAGAAUUUGCCACAUGACAGUUUCUACUUCACCCUUACCCACUCCCCAUCUCCGUCCGAUGCUUCAUCUUCCUACUCGCUGACUUUUUAAUUAAUCUAAACAAAUCGUUGUUAUAAGAAAAAAAGAGUAAAAUAAGACAUAUUCAUACUUUUCUUUUUGUAUAUUAUUUGUAUUUAUUGAUGUCUCGCGGCAAGUCAACAAAUUUUAAAAUUUUUAUUUUAUCAAUCUUCUAUUUUUUAUAGUAUUUGCACGCCGCAAUGUACGAAUAACUUCACUAGUUAGCUCAUUAAGUCUAAAGGGUCUUGAACAGUAGAAUAUAGACUUAAUUCGUUCAUAACUAGUCUAGGGUUAAAACGGUAGAGUACCUUCAUCGACUAUUGAAGGACGCAUGAAUCAUCUUCUAUGAUCCAGAAUCGAUCAUGUGACAAGAAAAGUUAACACGAUUAGCUUCUAGUAACAAAAAGGUAUGAUUCAAUCUUCUGCUGCGUCCUACAGUUAAAAACAAGAACGGUGUUACUUUUGUAUAUAUAAUGAAGCACUUUGCUAGCUUCUCAAAAUCACGACCUUACAAGAAACUAUAUGAAAGGCCAUACAAAAGCAAAGCGCCUUUUUUGGAGGGUAAAAGCACAAGAUUGUCACAAAUAUACUGCAUCAUAGGGGUUCAUUUUGAAUAAUUUUAUGCUAAUAAUGAACUUUGUAACUCAUCUAGCUAGCUAUGUACGUUCUCUAUAUGUUAUGUGCCAACAUAGGCUAGGGCUAAGGUUGUGAAAACUAUCAAAAAGAAGUUGGAUGAGAGGAAGGCAAAAGGAAGUGGUGGUGAGGAAGAUGAUCUUCUUGGGCAUGUUAUCAAGGAGAGUACUUACACUCCGGAGAACAUUUGUGACACCAUACUAGGCUUCAUUUUCGGCGGCGUGGCCACAUCCUCAACUGCAUUGUGCUUAGCCGUUUAUUUCCUUCAAAAUUGUCCUAAAGCUCGCGAACAAAUGAGGGUACGUAUGCUCAAAAACUUCACAUCGAUCCAUAAGUAUUAUUUUUAGCGAAGUCUCCAAAAAAGGAAAACAUUAAGUAGUGUAUCUAUGUGUAAAUAUGUUUACAGGAAGAGCAUUUGGAAUGUAUGAAAUCAAAGGAGGAGAAUGGCAAGGGAAAAUUGACAUGGGAUGACUACAAGAACAUGGAGUUCACACAAAACGUACGUUCAGAUAAUUGCAUAUAAUAAAAAAAACAAGAAAAGCUAUUAAAAAACCUGCUAGUUUUGAAUUAAUCUUGUUCCUUUUUUUUAUUCUUUUAUGGUAAAGGUGAUCAGUGAGACACUAAGGGUUGGAAAUGUUGCUCCGUAUGUCUGGAAGAAGGCUACGAAGGAUAUUGAGUUCAAAGGUUGGAACUUCGCUUGCAAUUUUAUUUAUUGUAUGAGUUUUAAUUUGCAAGUCUGGCUACUACACUCUUAUAAAUAUGAUCGCCUUCGUACUCAUAAGUUGUUCGUGAUGAUAGAGUUUCCAAAUUGACGAUCCAUAUCCUUAAAUAUGAUUUUAAGUAUUUGAAACUUUUAGAAAUUAAAUUUUAUAAUUUUUUGAUAUCAUUUACCUCUUAUGAUCAAAAGAUUUCAAAAUUGAUAAUUUUUAACGCUCAGUAUGGGAUACUUGCUAGUUUAAUAGUGUAAAAGACUCGAAAUUAAUUGAAUUUUUUAUAAAAAAUUUUUAUUCACUAUUUAGUUAAGAAUCAAUAACUCUAAUUUUAAAUUGAAGGAUUAAAUUAUUUAUUUUUAGGAUGUUGUUCAAUUUUGACCUUUCAUUUUCUUACGAAAUUUAUUUUUUAGAAGUUUCGAAUACUCUAAAUCAUAUUUAACGGUAUGGAUCGUCGAUUUGAAAACUCAAUCAUUGAAAACAACUUAUAAUUAUAAAGAGCUUUAUACUUAUAAUAUUACAGU
rnacentral:lncRNA from 1 species